CUUCACCUACGGGACGCAGCAGUGAGGAAUAUUGGUCAAUGGGCGAGAGCCUGAACCAGCCAAGUCGCGUGAGGGAAGACGGUCCUAUGGAUUGUAAACCUCUUUUGCCGGGGAGAAAAAAGCGGUACGUGUACCGAAUCGAGAGUACCAGGAGAAAAAGCAUCGGCUAACUCCGUGCCAGCAGCCGCGGUAAUACGGAGGAUGCGAGCGUUAUCCGGAUUUAUUGGGUUUAAAGGGUGCGAAGGCGGCGAGUUA
rnacentral:rRNA from 1 species